CUCCAAGUUGUUGGCCUGGCGGCCCUAUGUUGGGCUAUUUGGAAGCUCAGAAACAGAGCUUGUUUUGAGUUUAAGCUUGUAAGAUAUCCCGCUGGAUUUAUUUACUGUGCUGUGUCUUUUAUGAAUUAUUGGGCAGCUUUGUAAAAUGAGGGGACUGAAAUGUUGGAACAAGGUGCGACGGCACUCCAGAGAACGGCACUGGCAUAG
rnacentral:rRNA from 1 species